UGCCCUAAAUACAGUUACUGUUGCCACAAUC
rnacentral:piRNA from 1 species